UACCGUUCCGAACACUGUUACUACACAAAGCUUUACAAAAUUCAUUUGAGCUAAUUAAAAUAAUUUGAGAGGUGAAUAUGUAUACAGGUAAAAAACAGAGAGAAACAAUCCUUCUGCCAAAUAUGUUACCUACUCUAACAUUAGAACAUCUAAUACCAGGAACAAAGAAGUCACGAUAAAUAAGAAUAAAAAGAGCCUUAGCAGAAUAGUUCUUUUUCAAAAUCCAUCUUCAUUUCAAGAAUGUAGAAGGCUAAGUUCACUGUUUCAAGCCUCAUAGAGGACAAAAACACCCAUGAACCAUAUAACUUCAUUUCAUCAAAAUUUACUACACAAAAUUUGAAAAGAAAGACAAGAGUAAGAAUCUAACAUUGAAAGAAUGAAUUUGAACCUAGGUUGUUUGACAGCUUUAAGACCCAAAAACGAAUAGGACCGCAAUGGAGCUUCGAACCUCGACCGAAAAUCUUGUAUUUUAAUGUUUGGAGCUGCUGUUUCGGUUUGUUUUUGGCAGAAUUUUUUUGCUAGCUGAUUUUCGCUGCCCCUCUUGGCUGUUUUUGCAGAUGGUUUACCGCAAUUAGGGUGAGAUUUGAGCUGAAAUUUGAUGGUUUAUUGCUGAUUUCGUAGUUGUUUCGAGGGGCGAACUAGCAACAUUUUUGCUUGUUUCUGGGUGUUGUUGUGGCUACGUUUAUGAGACUGUUCUUCAGUUACAUUUGGGGCCAAAGGCAAAAGUAUUUUCAUGGAGUUUUCUAGUUUGGUUUUAUUGGGUUUUCAAAUAGACAAACUACGAUGGUAAGUGGACGAAGAAGAUGGUUGAAGGUGGAGCUAGAGUGGCGUUAAUGGAGCGAAGAAGUGAAGGGCUGCUGCAUUUUCUUGGUUUUUAGCGGAAGGAUACAUAGCUUUUUCUGUAAGGCUCUAGGAUCUUUUUUGUUUUUUUCCUGAAGAGAAAACGGCCGAUGGGAUAUUUAGGGUCU
rnacentral:lncRNA from 1 species